rnacentral:lncRNA from 1 species
UGGAAGAGGUGCUGGUGCUGGUGCUGGUAGAGGUGCUGGUAGAGGUGCUGGUGCUGGUGCUUGUAGAGGUGCUGGAAGAGGUGCUGGAAGAGGAGGUUUCUCAGCCCCAAGAUGGGCUGCUAGUGCUUCUACUUCUGGCAAUACUGGAUGGGCUAGUUACUUCAAUGCUAGUGGUAAUAUAUGAGCUAGGUGACAGUAAGGCUGGGUGACAGUAAUGCUAGUGGAUGUUUUGUAAUGCUAGUGGUCUGUUUGAGAACUAUUGUGGUGUUUGAGAACUUUUGUGGUGUUUGGUAAUAUAUGAGCUAGGUGACAGU